UGCUGCGUGGGGUCCUCUUGGAGACGUGGCCUCAGUGAGUCUUUGGAACGCCUGGGAACAUAGAACAGAACCAUCUACCCCAAACCCGGCUGCGUCACUGUGACCUUGGGACGGGCGGCGUGGGCCAAGGUCCCACGGGCGCCUUCUCGUCAGGUUGUGUGGCCAGGGCUUUGCAACCUGGUUUACAUUUUGUUCUUUAAAAAAAAAAAAAAAAGGCGAAAUAAAACAAGACAGAAGAAAAAACCAAACAUGCUUUAUGAAUCAAUUUUGCAGCUGCUAAGGGCUUAGGAGACAUAUUACCAAGCCAGUUAAAAAGUUCCUGGGGACAUUUUAGGGAACAGGAAACUCUCAGAUGACUGUUCUCUUCAAAAAAAUUACUCAGAAUGGGAUGCUGUCCGGACACCAGCCAGGGCUUCUUUCAUUAAAUCCGGCACACUGAUUUCGUUCUGAUCGACUACGUGUACUGGAAUCACUGUCUGGAGCAGAACUGGCCAGUGACCAGGAGGACCCACUGUGGCUGGACCCGUGAGCUGGAACCACCAUCAUGCUGUGUCGAUCCGGCUUCCUGCGUCUCCAGGACACCUGCACCUGAGACCUGGGCAGAUGAUUGAUGAGUAUUAACCUCCUCCAGUUCCGAAGUUUUAGCUUUGUUAGCACCUGCCUGAAUAGGGGUGCCUGCUGGUUUUGACAAUGGGCCCUCAGUAAGUAUCCGUGGAAUGACUGGAUGGAUGAACUCACAGCUCUUUAAUAAUAGCUGGCUUUGCUUUAGAGCAAAGGUGAGCUCCAGGUCCUGCCAGGCUCUCUCCACUGGGGUCUUUCUCUGUAAAGGGCCAGAGAGUAAAUGUCAAGGCUCUGCAGGCCUUAUGGCUCUGUCACAACUCCUUGACUUGCCCAUCGGAAUACAAAGGCAAUGACAGACCAUCCAGAAAAGAAUGAUUGUGGCUGUGUUCCAACCAAGUUUACUUAAUGGACACUGAAAUCUGGAUUUUACGAUCAUCUCCACCUAUCACAAAAUCACCUUCUUUCGAUUUUUUUUCAACCAUUUAAAAAUGUGAAAACCAUUCUUAACCUGCAGUGAAAACUCCAUCCGCCGUACCCCCUAGGCCAGGAUCCCUCAUCCCAACAGAGUUGUACAAAUACAGUGCAUCCAUACAAACAACCAGACCAAACCGACAUGCUCUCCAAUCCCGUCAAGGUCAAGACGAGCAAGUCUCCUCCGAUGGGAGGAGACUAAGGAGACAUGGUGGGGAAGUGCAAAAUGGGACCCCGGAAGGGAUGUCCGGGACAGGAGGCGACACGGGGAAACCGUGCACUCCAGCAUAUCAGAAGCUGGUUAGCUUUGGUGGAAGAUGAGCAAGUUCUGAAAUGAGCAAGAACCAAAGAAGGCCAGGGGCACCUGGGUGGCUCAGUCGGUUAAGCAGCCGACUUAGCUGGUUUGUGAGUUCGAGCCCCGAGUCCGGCUCUGUGCUGACAGCUCAGAGCCUGCAGCCUGCUUCAGAUUCUGUCUCCCUCGCUCUCUGCCCCUCCCCCACUCAUGCUCUGUCUCUCUUAAAAAUAAACAUUAAAAAAAUUAAAAAGUAAUAAUUUUUUUUUUUUUAAAGAACGAAAAAAAGGCCAGAUGCGUGAGCUCAGUGCCUCCAAUCCUCUGGGGCUCUGCAGGGGCCACUUUUGCUGUAAGUCAUUUUUCCACGGCCCCUACACUCCCUCAACAAUCAAAAUCAAAAAAAAAAACCAAAAAACAAAACCAAACCACAGUGAGAUCCACUCCACACCCACUAGGAUGGCUAAAAGAAAAAAGAAAAAAACAAGUGUUGGCAAGGAUGUGGAGAAGUUGGAACCUUAGUCUACUGCUGGUGGGAACAUAAAAUGGCACAGCUGCUGUGGAAAACAGUCUGCCAGCUGCUCAAAAUGUUAAACACAGAGUUACCAUAUGGCCCUGUAGUUCUACUCCUCGGUAUACACAGGCAAGAGACACAUCUGUACAAAGACCUGUAUGGUAAUUUUCACAGUAACCGUGUUCGCAAGAGCCAAACAGUGGAAGAAACAUCCCAGCGUUCAUCGGUGAAUGCCUAGAUAACCAAAAUGUGGUAAAUCCACACAUGCAAUGGAAUAUUAUUGAGCCAUAAAAAGGAAUGAAGUAUAUUAGUACAUACGCUACAACACGAAUGAACCUUGAAAAUACGCUAAGACACCAAACACAAAAGGACGCAUCGCAUGUUCCAUUUGUGUGAAAUGCCCAGAAUAGGCAAAUCCACAGGGGCAAGAAGUAGAUUUGUGGCUUUCUGUAACUGCCUCUAACCUUGGGUGGAGAGAGGAUCUCUUUUUCAGAUGACAAAAAUGUUCUAAAAAUAACUGUGGUGAUGGUUUCACAACUCUGUACAAACAUACUAAAAACCACUUUAAAAGGGUGAAUUUUAUGGCAUGCUAAUUAUAUUUCCAUAAAACUAAUAUUUUAAAAAACCAACUGGCUAGGCGCGGCUGGGUGGCUCAGUCGGUUGAGCGUCCAACUUUGGCUCAGGUCAUGAUCUCAUGGGUUCAUGGGUUCAAGGCCCUGCAUCAGGCUCUCUGCUGUCAGUGCAGAGCCCGCUUCGGAUUCUCUCUCUCUUUCUGUCCCUCCACUGCCCACGCUAUUUCUCUUUCAAAGUAAACAAACAAACAUAGGGAAAAAAAAGAGAAAAAAAAAAACAAAACACCAACUGGCUAAACCAUCCACCAGUCUAAGGUUGCAACCCAUGCCCAGGACCUAACGCCUUGGGAGAAGAGGAAGACAGCUUCUGGGGAGGGGUUGGCCUUCACCCCCAAAGGCUCACCCAAAACUGGGAAGGAUAUUCAGAAGCUGGGCAGCAUGCAGGAAGGAGGCAAAAGGCAUCUGGGCAGCCUUCUAGAUUCCUGACCUGAGAACUCACCAAGCCUGUUUGUGGACAGAUCUCUAACUUUGUUCCGAGUCACUGGGUCCUCAGCAGACAUCCUGUGUUUAAUCACUUGUUGUUAGAAGAGCGUCUGGCCUACACUGACUCACCUUUGAACACAUGGAUGUUUCAAAGCACUUCAUGUCCACUAUCUCUUUAUUUUUAUGCGACCUCAAGUGACUCAGCUUCUGGGCAAGCCAAUGGCUGCAUGGAUGGAUAUGCAAACUGCCGAUUCAGUAGUGUCUGAGCUGGUGACAAUUUUUACAGUUGUAGUUUUAGGGAAGAAAGACACGGAGAGGCAGAUUGCAGCAUCUGGUUUGUCAAAACAAAUUUUUUUUCCAAGGUCUCCCCAGUCUAUCAUAAGGCCCACACUAUAGGGGAGAUCUCCCCCACGAUCAUUUGAGACCCCAUUAGGCUCUACCAGUGGUAGGCUGGUAAAUGUUCACCAACCAGCUCUGGAAAGAGGAGGGACAGGAGGGUCCUGAUGAAAAGCACUUGCCAGUUUCCAUCGUGUCAACAUUCCUGCCAUGUUGAUUUCCAACUACCAACUUUAUGAUGGAUGUGGAGUGGGGAAUCCCAGAGACCACAAUACGAGAGCAGGGUUCUGGCCAGAACACUGCUUGCUAACUGGCUGUGUGGCUUCUGAGUUUUCGUGUCCUUUUCUAUAAUAGGAGGGAGGUUUCAUACCCUGCAGCACACCCUUUGGCUCCUGUCUCUGAGGAACCAUUCUGUGGUUGGAGCAUUCUCUUCAGUUCUUCCCCUUUGCUGGGCUUUGCUAAUGGCCUGCUCCCCAAACACCAAAGCACCUCUGUUUAUGAAAACAACUUGCUCCUGCAAGUUGCUAGGUGAGGACCAAAGCUGCCAAGAAGCAAGAGCCGGGCCUGCACUCACAAUUUCGUAUCACCCUCCAGAGGUGGAAACCUCCUCAAACCUCCUCCCUGUGCAACAGUGGAUUAAGGGUUGAAUUUGGCAGCCCAGAAAGAGGGGUAGCUGGACUUCAGUUCCUAGUAUAGGUCAUAAAGGUGCAAAGGAUCACCCAGGUCCUUUAUUCAACAAAUACUCUCCGGUCUCUAGCACUUACUAUGUGCCAAGCACUGUUCUAUGUGCUUGACAGAUACUGUGUUUAAUUCUCAUGACAGCUCCAUGAGGCAGGUGGUGUUCUUUUCAUCCCAUUUUACAGAUGAGGCAAAGAGAGGCUAAGACACAAGCCAUAACUAAAUAACUCACUUCUGUAACCGUAUGAUCUCUUUUUUAACAUCUCUAGAAUAAUAACUAAUAUUCAGAGACAGCCCGACAUCCAGUUUCUGGUAACUAGGUAGGUAUUCAGAUGAACUCUCAAUCUAAAAAUAAGGAAUAGUCUAAAUAGUAAGGAGUAGCUGAAAUGGAAGGAAGAAGAGAACCCUGGAGGAGAACCCAGCAAAGAAGCCAUUUAACCCUGCAGAGAUUUGUCAAGUCUAGCAUAUUUGAACCCCAGUGUGAGUGGCUUUUUGAGGCAAGAGGCCAAAAAUAAAAGUCCGGGUGGGAGACGAGACUUUCCCCCACAAUAAUUUGAGACCCUACUGGGCUCCACCAGUGGUAUUCUGGUAAAUGUUCACCAACCAGCUCUGGGUGGGGUUGAGGAAAGGAUCCUUAUAUACAGAAUUUGCCAACUUCCAUAAGUGUAAAUACUCCUGCCACAGUUGAUUUCAAACCAUCAACACGGGGUCACUGAACUCAGAGUUGGGAAGUGCAGAUCUGUUAGCCAGCUGCUUAUGUCACUGACACCCACCCCCCCCCACCCCCCAGGGUACAAUAAGCAAACCAGACUUGCUCAAUAGGGCAGCAUAUAUUUGCAUCAUCAGGGUGGUCCAGGGACCCAUGAGCCCUGAACUUAGAUAGUCCUGGAAUAGCAGUGCCCUCGGGAGCCUGGCAGGAGGAAAUGUAAAUCAUCUGUGGAGGAAGGUAACUUCAUCCUAGGCCUCAAAUUAUUCCUCUAAAUAAAUUUUAAAAUACAGUGUCCAGCAUGGUCAAAGACAACCAGACAGAUCACAAGGAAAUAGGACACCAUGAGCAAGAACUAGGAGAAACAGACCCUCAGGUACUUCAAAUGUUAGAAUUACCACAGACUACACCACAACUGUGCUUUGUUGAAAGAAAGGUUAAAAAUAUCUGCAGGGGACAGGGAACUAUAAAAAGUGACAUACUAGAUUUAUAAAGAACAUUUGUAGAAAGCUUUAUAGUUUAAUCAGAGAUCAAGAACACAAAUACCUUCAGGAGCCAUCUGAUAAUGCCAAUGAGUAAAGUGACCUGGUGACACAUUGGUGACCUGAAGAGCUUUGAGAGGCACAGGGCUCCUCAGUUCCAGCUGAUUGUUACCAUGUAGCACUGGGGGACCAGUUUGCAGACCUUCUGCUAUUUCUGGAGAAGGUGGAUAUUUUGAAUUCUUUUUCUUGUGGUGAAAUACACAUAAAACUGACCACUGUAACCAUUUGAAGGUGUACAAUUCAGUAUGCUUAAGUGUAUGUUCACAAUGGUGUACAGGAAACAUUAUCUAGUUCCAGAACUUUCUCGUCACCCCAAAAAGAAAUCCCAAACCCCUUGGAAGUCACUCUCUAUUCCCCCA